UGGCUCCGAUCAAAAUAAGUUUCUCGCUCGCAAUUUCAUUCAGUUUUACGGUGAACGCCGUCGGGUACUGUUCGAAUGAGUUCGAAAAGUAAAUUUUCAACAUCAAAUCCGAUUCGAGCUGUCGUCUGACUUCAAGUGUUGAGCAAGCGAUUGUGUACAUCUCUCGGGAAGCUUUAAUGGUGUUGUUGAAAUAUUCAAAUUAACAGCUGCGAUAUGAAGCAUCUCAACUGUGGGUGAUCUUCUUUGAAACGUGUUUUGCUGGCAUGGCUACAUCUUACAUCAUGUGGAACAUAUGACAUAUGUAGGCAGCAACAUAUAACAUCAUCUGGAAGAAGAUAUUCGUAGUUUAUUAUCUAAUCCAAUCGAUACGACAUCCAAGCAACGAACGCGAUAUCACAAAGAUUAGUUGCAAUGCACUUUCGUGCAGAAGAGUUCUCGACAAACUUUUCUUUAUCUAUCGAAGAGAAAACUUAUCAUCGUGAUAUGUACUUGUAAUCUACGGAGUAAUUAAAAUUUAUGAAGCUGCCGGUGCUAUAGUUAUAUACCACAACUAAGACCUUGCGUCAUGAAAAAGACAUUCAUUUUUUUGGCAUCAAGCAAGACGUAACAAAAGUUUUAGCUCUUCAAUGCAAAAUAUCAGAACAAAGAGAACAACUUUCUACUGCAACGCUUCCACGAUGUUCUGAUGUGAAGAAAAUUAACCAGAAGUUUGUUGAUGAAAAUGAACCAACUUUUGCCGCAAGCCUGCUAAACAGUGGAUUUGGCAAACUGAUCAAGAAGUGCUUUUGAAGGAGUGCGCUUGUUGAGAUGAUAGACUGCAAAGCGAAGAGCGACGAGUAUGCAAAAUUCUAUGAUUCUGCGAGGAUAAAAUCUACGAGAAUUUAGGAUAUUUGAGGGAACUAAUAUCGACAAGGUGUUUCAAAGAACAGUAGGAGGCAUUUGCAUCUUGGAAAAACUAAAGCAGAAUGAAAAUCCAAACUUUACAACAAUCCAAAUCAUCACCCAUAUACUCUGUAGUUACACCCAACGCAAACGGGGAAUAUUUUAUUACUUUCGGGCAAUUUUUUAUUACUUUGUGUGUCUUAUGACUGCGCAUUAUACACAAAAAGUAACAAACAAAAAGUAAUAAAAAUUAUGACGGCCACACGCUUGUAUGUGUUUCUGCAGGAGCAAAACUUUUCCUUAUUACUUUAGAAGCAAUAGCGCAAAAUUGCCUUUUAGGUAACAAAUCCAUUACUUAAAAAGCAAUAAAAUUCUUCCCCAGUCAAGUAACAACACAUACUGUCAUAUAUUUAGCACGUGUUAUGAGAGUACGACUAUCUAAUAAUGGUCGUUUCAACCACAUGCAACGUUUUUUCUGCCGAAAAAUGCUCCCUUUCCACCUCAAGUCAAAAAAAAUCACACACCGUCGCAUAAGUUGCACAUGUUACAAGUUUUUUCAAUCUCCAAUUCAUCCGGUGGGCGUGUAUUAGUUCGCUCGUUGUAUUCAUACGGAGUAGCGAAAAAAUAUGACAAGAGCUGCCAAGCAACAUUUUCCCCGUCAUAGAGUAUGCAAACGUUGAUAAUUUCAAAGACUUGAAAUGCGCCUUAAAAUGACAUCACGAUCUGUAAACUGCGUCAGAGAAAAAUAAAAACAUUCGCUUUCUUGUAAGCUAUUUACAGCACAUAAUCAUUGGUUCAUGGAAACUCAUUUGGACCUGUUUGAAUAUACAAAACUCGUGCCCAUCCAGAACAAUAUUCGCAACUUCGGCAACUCUGGUCAGACAGUAUUACAUAUUUCCAUUUCAAGUAAACACUGGGGGACGAAACGAAAGUGUUUCUAAUUGGACAUUUGAGGUUGACGGUUGAGAUUCUGAUUAUGUGUGGAUGAAGGGAGACAAAAAUGAACCAGAUCGUUGCAUCAAUACAAAUGCAGCGAGUGAAGUCUCGCCAACACAUGCAUUGCGGUGCUUGGCUGUAUGUUCUCCUGCAGAAACACAUACAAGCGUGUGGCCGUCAUAAUUUUUAUUACUUUUCGUUUGUUACUUUUUGUGUAUAAUGCGCAGUCAUGAGACACAAAAAGUAAUAAAAAAUUGCCCGAAAGUAAUAAAAUAUUCCCCGUUUGCGUUGGGUGUAUAAUUUUUAAAUAAUUCAAACAUAUUCCAACUUGUGUUGUAGGUUCUUGGGUUCUACAAAAACGGCAGAGGAGAAGGACGACAUGCUGGCAAGGCAUGCUUCAUCAUUGCAUACAGUAUUUCACGAAACAAUCUAAUCAACGUGUCAUUCGCUGAGCGUCAUUGAAAUCCAAACCCAAGAAGUUCAAACUGACCCUUAUUGAAUUAUUAAAUUGUUACACAUUGCAUUUGAUUUUAUUGGAAUCGAAUUUGCGAAAAAAAGGCUGAUAGAAAUUCACUGCGCGAAAUUAUUCCUUAGGUUGAAGACGAUCCGGUUUCCGCAAACAACUACAUACCACAACUAGUUGUGAAAGUUUGCAUACUGCAAGGAGAUGGGGAGGGGAAUGUUUCCGGACGUGGAAGAACAUGGCUAUACCUGUUGAUACAACUGAUAAACAAUUCUACUCAACCUUAGAAGCAGUCAAUUUUGGUGCAGCAGAACUAACCAUAGCGGGAGGAAAGUCUGUUAGAAUUCUAUGAAAGUAACGCCCAGUUUCUCGAUUUAUGACGUUGGAAAAGAAAAAAAGUAACUUAUAAUGCGUAACUGCGAUGUGAAAAUAAUAUUACAGUGCAUUAAUUUAGACAACAAUCAUCAAAGUACUACAUAUUUUCGUUUUGUUAACGUUAUAUCGGAGCUAAAAUCAAAAAUAACCUUUGGUAGUAAAAUGAGUUGUGUAAGCACAAGAAUAAUGUAGCAUGCAAGAGUAGGUAAUACUAGUGUAAACAUGAAUGCAAUAAGACUGAGUGAAUUCAAAUUCAUUCUAGAUAUAUAAGUUGUUAUGUAAAAAGAGGAAAACAUUAUUUUGUAGUAGAUAAAAACAGUUCAAAAAUUGCAAUUGGUUUCAAAUCAACAUUUGCACUCAUUUCUACAAAUAAUAUUAUAUAAAAAUGCAAAUGAAACACAAUUACCAGAAAAAAUGUACAGAAAUAUAUAUUUGACAUACUAGACAACAUGGAUGAAUAUUAAA